rnacentral:rRNA from 1 species
ACGAACCGUGCGAACGUUGUUCGGAAUCACUGGGCUUAAAGGGCGCGUAGGCGGGUCGCCAAGUUUGGGGUGAAAUCCUCCGGCUCAACCGGAGAACUGCCUCGAAUACUGGCGAUCUCGAGGGGGAUAGGGGCAUGCGGAACUACGGGUGGAGCGGUGAAAUGCGUAGAUAUGCGGAGGAACACCGAUGGCGAAGGCAAUCCCCUGGGCCUGCACUGACGCUCAUGCACGAAAGCGUGGGGAGCAAACAGGA